rnacentral:rRNA from 1 species
CCAAACUGUUGCCUCGGCGGGAACUCAUGCCCCGGGUGCGUCGCAGCCCCGGACCAAGGCGCCCGCCGGAGGACCAACCAAAACUCUUUUUGUAUACCCCCUCGCGGGUUUUUUAUAAUCUGAGCCUUCUCGGCGCCUCUCGUAGGCGUUUCGAAAAUGAAUCAAAACUUUCAACAACGGAUCUCUUGGUUCUGGCAUCGAUGAAGAACGCAGCGAAAUGCGAUAAGUAAUGUGAAUUGCAGAAUUCAGUGAAUCAUCGAAUCUUUGAACGCACAUUGCGCCCGCCAGUAUUCUGGCGGGCAUGCCUGUCCGAGCGUCAUUUCAACCCUCGAACCCCUCCGGGGGGUCGGCGUUGGGGAUCGGCCUUCCUUCACGGGGGCCGUCUCCGAAAUACAGUGGCGGUCUCGCCGCAGCCUCUCCUGCGCAGUAGUUUGCACACUCGCAUCGGGAGCGCGGCGCGUCCACAGCCGUUAAACACCCAACUUCUGAAAUGUUGACCUCGGAUCAGGUAGGAAUACCCGCUGAACUUAAGCAUAUCAAUAAGCGGAGGAA